CCUUUAGAUGUUCUGGGCCGCACGCGUGCUACACUGAGUGGAUCAGCGGGUCAGGUUGCGCGAAAGUGUUUCCUAAUCUUUAAAUCCGCUCGUGAUGGGGAUUGACGGUUGCAAUUUUCCGUCAUGAACGAGGAAUACCUUGUAAGCGCGGGUCAUCAUCCCGCGCUGAAUACGUCCCUGCCCUUUGUACACACCGCCCGUCGCUCCUACCGAUUGAGUGGUCCGGUGAGGCUUUGGGAUCUGAGCGGAAAGAGCGUUUCGCUGUUUCUGCCCGGAAAACUCAGUCGAACCUUAUCAUUUAGAGGAAGGAGAAGUCGUAACA
rnacentral:rRNA from 1 species